AUAAACGCGAGAAGAAUUGAAAUUAGGUGUGUUUUUUUAAUUUAAUGUCAUUGCUCUUGACUGUCUCUCAAUAUACAUGUAUUUGUUAGUUAACAUUCAUCUGAUUUUGAUUAAACUUUCAGCGUUAUGCUUGUUCAAUGUUUCUCUUUUUCUCCAGAUUAAGUUUUCGUUUGGAGUGGAUUUACUAAUUAAAUCUGAAAUGAUAUGAUGAUCAUGGCCCUGGAAAGUGCGAGUGCUGCGUGUGUUACUUUCCAUAGGCAAGACCCCCAUGGAAUUCCGCAACUGGCUGAUGGAGAGGGUAUGGUUUACGUGCAGACUGGUGACUGAAGGAGUAACCAGAGAAUUGAAGAACCGAGACCAAGAGAGAUGGAGCACCCCCCCCCCCCCUGGAAAAAAACUGAGGUCAUUAGAAAACAUGCUCCACAUUGCAAGCAAGAAGGACAGAUUUUGAAAUCCGACGGGACAAUCGUUGAAACAGUUCUUCUAAGAUAGAGUGGGUUGGCUGCAAAGAUCAACGAGGUGGACCAUGAACAAGGCGCAGAUUAUCUAGUUGCUAUGCGUCCCUCAAAAAAAGGAAACUGGGAUUCUCAUAUCGUUUUUCUCCUAAGGCAAAUUCAUUAUAAUAUUUCAUUUGCAUUAUAUUUUCACUUUUAUACACACAAUUCAAUAAUUCCUCUAAUUUUAUACAUAAUCUGCCGCAAACACUUUACACAUUAAAGGGAAUGGUCCAGGCUAGAGAUAUUUUUAUCUUAAUAAAUAUGGUAAAAUUUACGAAGCAAAAUGCUGAAAAUUUGACCGAAAUCGGAUAACAAAUAACAAAGUUAUUGAAUUUUAAAGAUUUGUA